AUGCACGCUGGCGGCGUGCCUAAUACAUGCACGUCGAGCGAACAGAUAAGGAGCUUGCUCCUUUGACGUUAGCGGCGGACGGGUGAGUAACACGUGGGUAACCUACCUAUAAGACUGGAAUAACUCCGGGAAACCGGGGCUAAUGCCGGAUAACAUUUAGAACCGCAUGGUUCUAAAGUGAAAGAUGGUUUUGCUAUCACUUAUAGAUGGACCCGCGCCGUAUUAGCUAGUUGGUAAGGUAACGGCUUACCAAGGCAACGAUACGUAGCCGACCUGAGAGGGUGAUCGGCCACACUGGAACUGAGACACGGUCCAGACUCCUACGGGAGGCAGCAGUAGGGAAUCUUCCGCAAUGGGCGAAAGCCUGACGGAGCAACGCCGCGUGAGUGAUGAAGGUCUUCGGAUCGUAAAACUCUGUUAUUAGGGAAGAACAAAUGUGUAAGUAACUGUGCACGUCUUGACGGUACCUAAUCAGAAAGCCACGGCUAACUACGUG
rnacentral:rRNA from 1 species